rnacentral:rRNA from 1 species
UACGUAGGGUGCAAGCGUUAUCCGGAAUUAUUGGGCGUAAAGAGCUCGUAGGCGGUUUGUCGCGUCUGCUGUGAAAACUGGGGGCUCAACCCCCAGCCUGCAGUGGGUACGGGCAGACUAGAGUGCGGUAGGAGAGAUUGGAAUUCCUGGUGUAGCGGUGGAAUGCGCAGAUAUCAGGAGGAACACCGAUGGCGAAGGCAGAUCUCCUGGGCCGUAACUGACGCUGGAGGAGCGAAAGCGUGGGGAGCGAACAGG